GAGCAGAGUGACUGAUGAUUGCAAACACUUUCCCAACAGCUCUUGGCAGGGAGGACACUUCGCGGUUGCACAGUAUGGGGACGGUCCCGGUGCCCCAGAGAAGGACUAACUCCAUCUUUUUGCACCAGGCUAUCAAAAGACAUGAAGUUCAACCCAGCCUCUCCUUUGUCCAUCAUCAGCCAGCAGCUCCCAGCAAACUGCAGAGAGGAGGAAGGAGGGUGAGAGCAAGAUGAGCGAAGGACACAACUUCCAAAGCCCUGCUCAGGGCCAAUCUUCGAACACUGGACAGCUGUGGGAAAAUCCUGCACAAAGGAGCAGAAACACGGGCUGCUGGGGAGAAGGGCUCCUGAGCUGCGGGCAGUCCCUGCAUCCAUUCCUCCUGCACUGUCCCUCUGAUGCUGCUUU
ensembl:lncRNA